UGCAGGGUCGUCCAAGUGGGAGGACACCGGCGUAAUAAGUCGGAGAAUGCGGGUUCGAGUCCCGCCCGUGCCU
rnacentral:tRNA from 1 species